rnacentral:rRNA from 1 species
UGGGGAAUAUUGGACAAUGGGCGAAAGCCUGAUCCAGCAACGCCGCGUGAGGGAUGACGGCCUUCGGGUUGUAAACCUCUUUCAGCGCAGACGAAGCGAAAGUGACGGUAUGCGCAGAAGAAGCACCGGCCAACUACGUGCCAGCAGCCGCGGUAAUACGUAGGGUGCGAGCGUUGUCCGGAAUUAUUGGGCGUAAAGGGCUCGUAGGCGGUCUGUUGCGUCAGGAGUGAAAACUCGGGGCUUAACCCCGAGCCUGCUUCUGAUACGGGCAGACUAGAGGUAUGCAGGGGAGAACGGAAUUCCUGGUGUAGCGGUGAAAUGCGCAGAUAUCAGGAGGAACACCGGUGGCGAAGGCGGUUCUCUGGGCAUUACCUGACGCUGAGGAGCGAAAGUGUGGGGAGCGAACAGG